CCUACGGGAGGCAGCAGUGGGGAAUCUUGCGCAAUGGGCGAAAGCCUGACGCAGCCAUGCCGCGUGAAUGAUGAAGGUCUUAGGAUUGUAAAAUUCUUUCAGUAGGGACGAUAAUGACGGUACCUACAGAAGAAGCCCCGGCUAACUUCGUGCCAGCAGCCGCGGUAAUACGAAGGGGGCUAGCGUUGCUCGGAAUUACUGGGCGUAAAGGGAGCGUAGGCGGGUUAUCAAGUUGGAGGUGAAAGCCCAGGGCUCAACCUUGGAAUUGCCUUCAAAACUGAUAGCCUAGAGUAUGAUAGAGGUAUGUGGAACUCCGAGUGUAGAGGUGAAAUUCGUAGAUAUUCGGAAGAACACCAGUGGCGAAGGCGACAUACUGGGUCAUGACUGACGCUGAGGCUCGAAAGCGUGGGGAGCAAACAGGAUUAGAUACCCUGGUAGUCCACGCUGUAAACGAUGAUUGNUAGUGUCGGACGGCGAUGCGUCGGU
rnacentral:rRNA from 1 species